rnacentral:rRNA from 1 species
CCAGACUCCUACGGGAGGCAGCAGUGGGGAAUAUUGGACAAUGGACCAAGAGUCUGAUCCAGCAAUUCUGUGUGCACGAUGAAGUUUUUCGGAAUGUAAAGUGCUUUCAGUUGGGAAGAAAAAAAUGACGGUACCAACAGAAGAAGUGACGGCUAAAUACGUGCCAGCAGCCGCGGUAAUACGUAUGUCACAAGCGUUAUCCGGAUUUAUUGGGCGUAAAGCGCGUCUAGGUGGUUAUAUAAGUCUGAUGUGAAAAUGCAGGGCUCAACUCUGUAUUGCGUUGGAAACUGUGUAACUAGAGUACUGGAGAGGUAAGCGGAACUACAAGUGUAGAGGUGAAAUUCGUAGAUAUUUGUAGGAAUGCCGAUGGGGAAGCCAGCUUACUGGACAGAUACUGACGCUGAAGCGCGAAAGCGUGGGUAGCAAACAGGAUUAGAUACCCUGGUAGUCCACGCCGUAAACGAUGAUUACUAGGUGUUGGGGGUCGAACCUCAGCGCCCAAGCAAACGCGAUAAGUAAUCCGCCUGGGGAGUACGUACGCAAGUAUGAAACUCAAAGGAAUUGACGAGGGCCCGCACAAG